AUUGAACGCUGGCGGCAGGCUUAACACAUGCAAGUCGAGCGAGCGGCGGACGGGUGAGUAAUGUCUGGGAAACUGCCUGAUGGAGGGGGAUCACUACUGGAAACGGUAGCUAAUACCGCAUACCUUCAGAUGUGCCCAGAUGGGUUUAGCUAGUAGGUGGGGUAAUGGCUCACCUAGGCGACGAUCGGUUGCUGGUCGGAGAGGAUGACCAGCCACACGGGAACUGAGACACGGCCCAGACUCCAACGGGAGGCAGCAGUGGGGAAUAUUGGACAAUGGGCGCAAGCCUGAUGCAGCCAUGCCGCGUGUGGGAAGAAGGCCUUCGGGUUGUAAAGUACGUUCAGCGAGGAGGCGUUACUCGCAGAAGAAGCACCGGCUAACUCCGGGCCAGCAGCCGCGGUAAUUC
rnacentral:rRNA from 1 species